GUGAAUCAUCAAAUCUUUGAACGCAAAUUGCACUCUCUUCUGAUAGUAUGCCUGUUUUAGGGUCAGCCUAAAAAAAAUCGACAUAGUCUCUGUUUCGCUGUUUCAUUCGUCGGAAAUUGGGCCAUCUUAAACCUUUGGGUUUUAAGCGGCUUAAACUUUUCUUUACGAUUCUACGAACGUUUCUAAGAUUUACUGACACGUUUAAGGUAUCGAUUUUUAUUAGACGUGGCCGUUGCAUCGGAUCACGUCCAUAAAUAUUUCGUUAACUG
rnacentral:misc_RNA from 1 species